rnacentral:misc_RNA from 1 species
CCCCCGCUGUUGUGCGGCCGACUCUCGGUGCCAGCGUCCCUUCAAUCGUUGGCURUGUGCCKAUYGAUUUUACGAGUGCUUGCAUGCUGCUACCAGUUACACUGGAAGUUGCAUUGCUAACGGGUUUUUGCCGUGCAUGCCCUUGGGGCAUGUCACGUCAACGAUAAAGCGUUCAUGGUGUUGCCUCGUGUAGCUAGCCACUAUGGCUAGCAGCAUCAAGGCCACCGCAUGGUUGCUAUUGGUCUCGGAUGUAGCUAACUUCAAAGGCUGAAGGUGUUUUUGCACCUCAUGCCUACAAGUCCGAGAGGAAACAACGACAGUUUGCCUGGCUGAUGCCUCGUGCGGAAGCUAGUGCU